UAAAUUAUGGAAUUUUAUUGCGGCAUCUUUCCCAUUCUUUUCGAGCGAAUAUUUUCUUCUAUAUAUUAUUUCCUAUCUAAAAUAAAAAUAUCUAUUAUCUCCCAUGUCUGCAUCCAAAGAUCCAUGGAGCACCAUUGGCGCUUCUUCAUUAGCGUUGUAGCUGUUGGCGCAAGGAGCGUUGCGUCUUUCGGAAGAAACUAGGGUCAAAUAGCGAACAAUCUCCCCUCGCAAGACGACGCGUUGCGUUGGUGAAAUCCAUGGGAGCAACGAAGGUGAAGCUCUACGACGCAGAUGUGAAAUUAAUGGUAGGCCUGGGAAACGAGUACUUUUCUAGAAUGAAAGAUCCAAAGCAAGCCCAGGCAUGGAUCAAAUCCAACCUCCAAGCCUACCCCUCCAGUAACCUCCACUACGAUAACGUGCUUUUUGCACAGAUCGAUGCUGUGUAUUCCGCGUUGGACUCGUUGGCUUUCCAAGGGGCAUCUGGACGAAGCCGGUGCGAAACUCGAGAACGCCAAGAGCUAUAACGGGAAUCUUAUUAAGAUGGUUAUGAACAGCACGAAGCAGAAUCCAAAGGAAGACACCGGGGCAUGGCAAUGGGGAGAAGAGCAAAGGCAGAAUUAGAACGGAGUAAAGGCAGUACACGUCGUCUUUGCAGUGCGAUGUCGCUUACUUGCUGGUCUAGGAAGUAAAGGUAGUUGUUUGUGGACUUGAGGAGCUUUUGUCACUCCCCACCCCCGGGACUAUCUAUGUAUUACAGGAAUAGAUACAUUGAUUGGUAUUUUUAUCAGACAUUAUUUCAUAAUAAUGUGAUACGGUCACAUUUUGCUUUUGCAGUAUUCAUUUCUCA